rnacentral:tRNA from 1 species
UCCCUGAGGGUCCAGUGGUUAGGACUCUGCACUCUCACUUCAGAGUGCCCAGGUUCAAUUCCUGGUCCAGGAA